GAGAGCACAGUGCGUGCAGACAUGCCAUCACUCUUCCAAGUAUUCACUCUGAGAGUCCUUGGGGCUUUGUGUGUGUAUGGUGCAGGUCAUCUAGAACAACCUCAACUCUCCAGUACCAAAAUGCUUGCAAAAACAGCCCGCCUGGAAUGCAUGAUAUCUGGUGUAACAAUUUCUGAAACGUCUGUAUAUUGGUAUCAAGAAAGACCCGGUCAAGCCAUGCGGCACCUACUCCGCAUUUUAUCCAACAACACCGUCAGAAGGGAAUCAGAUGUCACGUCGGACAAGUUUGAGGCAGACAAGAUACCCAAAACGUCUACGUCGACCCUCACCAUUCACAAUGUGCAGGAACAAGACUCCGCCACCUACUAUUGUGCCCUCUGGGAAGUGCACAAUAGUGGGCUAACGGAUGGCAAGAGCAUCAAAAUAUUUGGUUCUGGAACACAGCUCAUUGUUACAGAUAGAAGAACUGAUGUAGACAUGUCUCCCAAGCCCACUAUAUUUCUUCCUUCAACGGAUGAAAUAAACUCCAAUAAGACUGGAACACAUCUUUGCCUUCUUGAGAAUUUUUUCCCUGAUGUUAUUAAGGUUUAUUGGAAAGAAAAGAAUGGCAAAACAGUUCUGGAAUCCCAGCAGGGAAAUAUCAUCAAGACGAAUGACACAUAUAUGAAAUUCAGCUGGCUGACCGUGUCUGAAGAGUCAAUGGAUAAAGAACACGUAUGUAUCGUCAAACAUGAGAAUAACAGAGAAGGAGCUGAUCAAGAGAUUCUUUUUCCUUCAAUUAACAAAGAGGUCACUACACCUGCUUGCGUGAAAAAAGAAACUGAUACCCUGCAGCUGCAGUUCACGAACACGUCUGCCUACUACACCUACGUCCUCCUCCUCCUCAAGAGCAUGAUGUACUUCUCCAUCAUCGCCUUCUGUGUGUUUAGGAGAACAGCCCUCUGCGGCAAGGGGAAGAGCUUCUGACAGAGGGGGCCACGGAGGGGUCACCUUUCCUGCAUCAUCUAUUGUCUCUGAACGUGUCUGCUGAGGAUCCAGCCAUGCAUGCUUCCUUUCUGGGUUUGGGUUAUUUCGAAUAAUAUGUACAUUUUUCAAUUGUUGUGUAAGGGUUAAACCGCUGGGCAAGCAGACAGCUUUACUCUGUAACAGGGAAUUCUGCCAUUACUCAGGGUCAGGGCCCAGGGCUGGUCCAGGGGAGCCUCUCCCACCUCUGUCCCCACAGCCUCAUCAGCUCCUCCUGCCCCUCGAGCCCUCCACCUGCUGAGCGCACACAGCAGGCAGCUCCCAUCUCCUCCCUCAGCGCCUCCACCCAGACCACAGCCCUGACCCUCCCUGUCACACACCCUGGAG